rnacentral:rRNA from 17 species
GUUGUAUGGUUAAGUGACUAAGCGUAUACGGUGGAUGCCUUGGCAGUCAGAGGCGAUGAAGGACGUAGUAACGCGAAAAGCGUUGGCGAGCUAGUAACAAGCAUUUGAGCGCUAACGAUAUCGAAUGGAAACCCACUCACAUAAGUGAGUAUCACAUACUGAAUACAUAGGGUAUGUGAGAAGAGCCAGGAACUGAAACAUCUAAAUACCAGGAAAAGAAAUCAACGAGAUUCCCCUAGUAGGCGGCGAGCAGGGGGGAUUAGCCCAUAAGUCUAUAGGGUGUUAGUGGAAUGAGUUGGAAAGCUCAGCGGCACAGGGUGAUAGCCCCGUACAUGAAAACUAACUAUAGAUGAAAACGAGUAGGACAGGACACGUGACAUCUUGUCUGAACAUGGUAAGUACCCGGAGGAAAAGAAAUCAACCGAGAUUCCCUAGUAGCGGCGAGCGAACGGGGAUUAGCCCUAAGUCUAUAGGGUGUUAGUGGAAUGAGUUGGAAAGCUCAGCGGCACAGGGUGAGCCCCGUACAUGAAAACUAACUAUAGAUGAAAACGAGUAGGACGGGACACGUGACAUCUUGUCUGAACAUGGGGGGACCAUCCUCCAAGGCUAAAUACUCCUGACUGACCGAUAGUGAACCAGUACCGUGAGGGAAAGGCGAAAAGAACCCCUGUGAGGGGAGUGAAAUAGAACCUGAAACCGUAUACGUACAAGCAGUGGAGCAUUCUGAGACCGUGACUGCGUACCUUUUGUAUAAUGGGUCAGCGACUUACAUUUUGUAGCAAGGUUAAGCGAAUAGCGGAGCCGUAGGGAAACCGAGUGUUAACUGCGCGUUUAGUUGCAAGGUGUAGACCCGAAACCGAGUGAUCUAGCCAUGGGCAGGUUGAAGGUUGAGUAACAUCAACUGGAGGACCGAACACACGUAUGUUGAAAAAUGCGGUGAUGACUUGUGGCUGGGGGUGAAAGGCCAAUCAAACUCGGAGAUAUCUGGUUCUCCUCGAAAGCUAUUUAGGUAGCGCCUCGUACGAAUACCAUUGGGGGUAGAGCACUGUUAAGGCUAGGUCAUCCGACUUACCAACCCUUUGCAAACUCGAAUACCAAUGAGUACUAUACGGGAGACACACGGCGGUGCUAACGUCCGUCGUGAAAAGGAAACAACCAGACCAUCAGCAAUCCCAAAGUUAUUGCUAAGGGAAACGAUGGGAAGGCUUAGACAGCUAGGAUGUUGGCUUAGAAGCAGCCAUCAUUUAAAGAAAGCGUAAUAGCUCACUAGUCGAGUCGGCCUGCGCGGAAGAUUUAACGGGCUAAGCAAUACACCGAAGCUAUGGGUUUGCUAGUUUACUAGCAAGCGGUAGAGGAGCGUUCUGUAAGCCGUUGAAGGCGAAGGUAACCCACGCUGGAGGUAUCAGAAGUGCGAAUGCUGACAUGAGUAACGAUAAAGGGAGUAAAAACCCUCGCCGAAAGACCAAGGUUUCUGUCCAAUGUUAAUCAGGGCAGGGUAAGUCGACCUCGGUGAGGCCGAAAGGCGUAAUCGAUGGGAAACGGGUUAAUAUUCCCGUACUUCUACUAACUGCGAUGGAGAGACGGAGAAGGCUAGGCUAGCGCGGCGUUGGUUGUCCGCGUUUAAGGCUGUAGGCUGUUCACUUAGGCAAAUCCGGGUGAACGCAUUAAAUUGCAAAGCUGAGAGUUGAUGACGAGUCCCCAAGGGGAUGAAGUAGUUGAUGCCAUGCCCGAAAAUCUUCUAAGCUUCAGGUUAGUAGGAAUCGUACCCCAAACCGACACAGGUGGUUGGGUAGAGAAUACCAAGGCGCUUGAGAGAACUCGGCUGAAGGAACUAGGCAAAUGGUACCGUAACUUCGGGAGAAGGUACGCUGCCGGCGGUGAUAGGACUUGCCUGCUGCUGGCAGUCGCAGAUACCAGGUGGCUGCAACUGUUUAUCAAAAACAGUACUGUGCAAACUCGCAAGAGGAAGUAUACGGUAUGACGCCGCCCGGUGCCGGAAGGUUAAUUGAUUGGGUUAUCUUCGGAGAAGCUCAUGAUCGAAGCCCGGUAAACGGCGGCCGUAACUAUAAUUACCCUAAGGUAGCGAAAUUCCUUGUCGGUAAGUUCCGACCUGCACGAAUGGCGUAAUGACGGCCACGCUGUCUCCAGCCGAGACUCAGUGAAGUUGAAAUUGCGGUGAAGAUGCCGCAUACCCGCGGCUAGACGGAAAGACCCCGUGCACCUUUACUAUAGCUUGGCACUGAACAUUGAACCUACAUGUGUAGGAUAGGUGGGAGACUUUGAAGCAGAGACGCUAGUUUUUGUGGAGUCAACCUUGAAAUACCACCCUUGUAGUUUUGAUGUUCUAACUCUGGCCCUGAAUCGGGGUUGAGGACAGCAGAGACGCUAGUUUUGUGGAGUCAACCUGAAAUACCACCCUUGUAGUUUUGAUGUUCUAACUCUGGCCCUGAAUCUGAGGACAGUGCCUAUGGGUAGUUUGACUGGGGCGGUCCUCCCAAAGAGUAACGGAGGAGCACGAAGGUUGGCUAAGUACGGUCGGACAUCGUACGGUUAGUGCAAUGGCAUAAGCCAGCUUAACUGCGAGACAUACACGUCGAGCAGGUACGAAAGUAGGUCAUAGUGAUCCGGUGGUUCUGAAUGGCCAUCGCUCAACGGAUAAAAGGUACGCCGGGGAUAACAGGCUGAUACCGCCCAAGAGUUCAUAUCGACGGCGGUGUUUGGCACCUCGAUGUCGGCUCAUCACAUCCGGCUGAAGUCAUUCUGCGGUAUGGCUGUUCGCCAUUUAAAGUGGUACGCGAGCUGGGUUCAGAACGUCGUGAGACAGUUCGGUCCCUAUCUGCCGUGGGCGUUGGAUGAUUGAAGGAAGCUGCUCCUAGUACGAGAGGACCGGAGUGGACGAACCGCUGGUGUUCGGGUUGUUAUGCCAAUAGCAUUGCCCGGUAGCUACGUUCGGAAUCGAUAACCGCUGAAAGCAUCUAAGCGGGAAGCGAGUCCUAAGAUGAGUCAUCCCUAGGAAUUUAAUUCCUCUAAAGAGCCGUUCGAGACUAGGACGUUGAUAGGCAGGGUGUGUAAGCGUUGUGAGGCGUUGAGCUAACCUGUACUAAUGACUCGUGAGGCUUAACCAUACAACCCAGAUGGGUUUGU